GGUCAGAACUGGACUAUGGCCUAAAUGGUUAGGGCAUUGGACUCUGGAUUGAGCGGUACAGGUUCAAGUCCUGGCCCGUGAUCA
rnacentral:tRNA from 1 species